CCCUGGUGGGAAACUGGCGUUUAAAUAUACAUAUAAAUAUUUUCCCAAGGCUGGUGGGGGGGAAAUUGAGUUUGCAUCAGAACUGCCCCCCACCCCAGGUCAUGCAUGGUGCCAGCCAUACAGUGCUCAGCCUGCCAAAAAAGGUGAGUGCAUGCUGGGGGUGGGGGUGCAUUCAAAGCUGGCAGCCCAGUAAUCCAGAGGGAAGCGGGAGAGAGAGACACACACAGAGACACAGUAGCAGCCGCUGCAGAGGGAAUCAUAGGCUGCAAGAAAAGGAAGAGUGUGUGAACCAGAUUUACCAGAUUUGGAGGUGAAAAAGGCAGGCCAACCUGCUGGAAAAACCUGAUACCAACAUUUGGCAGGAAAAGCCCAUUUUGCUAACCAAGAGCAGUUGUCACAUCUUGCUGCUUGACAAUCAUCACUCCAAGGGAAUUGUACCGAUGUAAGUCUAGAGGGCACUUCCCUAGAGAUCUGUGGCUUUCCUGCGUUGGAAGCAAGACACAGGGAGACUGGAACGGGUGAAGGAGAAGGAAGGAAGAGGAGGAGCAGCUCCCACCCCAGGUCUGGAAAUGCACGAGCAGGACACAGCUGGCUCCAAGAUGUGGGACACGGUGCAAGGAGAGGGAAAGCGAGGCCCACAGGUGGUUCACGUUGGGAGCAUCGGCACUUUCCUGAGCAAGGCUCCUCCGCAGCAGAUUAAGCGGGAACCAGAGGAGGGUCUGCAGCAAUACUGGGAAUCCCAGUGGCAGGAGUUCCUGAAGAGCGUGCAGGCUCCGGACUCAGGAUCGCUGCCCCUGCCUGUAUCCGGGGAGGAGCUGAAAGAUUACCAGGCCUCCUUCAGAGGCGUCGCUGAUGCCGCUCAGUGGUCCAGAGGAGGGUGGGUGACUCAGAGCCUGCCGGGCCUCAGCGGAGAAGCCCAGAAGGUCUACCGGAGCCUGGAUUCCUUUGUGAAAGUGAAGGAAGAGUUGCUGGCCGAGGACGCCAUCCGCUCGGAGAUGCGGCGCCAGCACUUCCGGCAGUUCUGCUACCAGGAGGCCAAAGGGCCCCGGGAGGUCUGCAGCCGGCUCCGGGAGCUUUGCCACCAGUGGCUGAAGCCCGAGAGGCACACCAAGGAGCAGAUCCUGGAGCUGCUGAUCCUGGAGCAGUUCCUGACCAUCCUGCCUCUGGAGAUGCAGAGCUGGGUCAGGGAGAGCAGUCCGGAGAGCUGCAGCCAGGCGGUGGCCCUGGCAGAGGACUUCCUGAUGGGGAGGCGAGACGGCAAGAGAUGGGGGCCACAGGUCCCAGGGCCUUUUGUUGAGGUUGCUGUAAAUUCCUCUGAAGCAGAGCAGGUUCUGUCGGAGACUUGGAACAGGCAGCUUUGCAGAGUAGCUAAGCACGAACUGAGCAAAGAUGGAAACCCACAGGGUGAUGGGCAGACAGCAAAUCAUCUUCAUCCAGAAGGUUCCAGUCAAGUGGAAUCGCACGACGCAUCCAUGAGAAUAGGCUUGGUUUUCCAACACUAUGAGGAGGGGACGAUGCCUUUUGGUCAGCAAGGAACAGCAAGUAAGCAGGGGAAAGACCCGGAAAACAGGAUGGAGGGCACUGUUGCCUGCUGGCAAAGUGAUUUCAACGAGAAAGAAACCAAAGCCCGUCAUUGUGAAGAACUAAAAACUUGCACCAGUGGCGAAGGAAGCUUCAGACCGAGUGGAGGCCUUCUUAAGCAUGAACCUAUCCUCACAGAUGAGAAAACGUUCAAGCCCUCGGACUGCCGGGAAAACUUCCCUCAUGGUUCCAGCCUCGUUCCGCAUGAGAGGAACCAUGCCGGGGACAGGCGGUUCAAGUGCUCCGAGUGUGGGAAGAGCUUCAAUCAGAAGCGCUAUCUCACUGGGCACAAGCGAAUCCACAAAGGAGAAACCCCGUACAAAUGCUCAGACUGCGGGAGGAGCUUCAACCGGAAAUGGAAUCUCAUAGCGCACAAGAGAAUCCACUCGGGAGAGAACCCAUAUAAGUGCUCAGACUGCGGGAAGACGUUCAGUCAGAAGGGAAACCUCAUGACCCACGUGCGAAUCCACACAGGAGAGAAGCCCUACAAGUGUGCUGAGUGUGGGAAAAGAUUCAGCCAGAGGGCAGGCCUUACGUCACACAGGAAAAGCCAUAUAAAAAUCAACACUGUAGGGAAAGCAACCGUUGGUUACCUGAUUUUCUUAAACCUCAGCGAAUCCGCACAGGAGGGAAGCCCUGUAGAAGCUUAAGAGUGUGAAGGAAAACUUCCUUCCGAACUUAAAAUAUUCUGAGUAGGAAACAUAAAUCACAUAGGAGAAAACCCUUAAGAUGUCUGACUGUACGAGAAACAGUGUGGGGCCGUGUAUUAUUAAGGAUCAGGAAGCCUCUAGGAGGGGAAGGGUUCUCUUAAUUCUUUGACUGACUAGAGCAGAACCUUCUUUCAUAACUUUGGACAGAUCAGAGCCAGUUUGCGCAAGCAACAGAUCUUGCUGCCAAACUGUUGCUGGACUGUACCACUUUAGACUGAUGAGAAGGGUGGAUUUCAUAAUUUAAAACACCUGCACACACACCCUCCCUCCCUCCCUCUCGCUCUAGUAAAAAAACCUGUUUGUGGGACUUUCCUCCCUGCCAUCUAGAUCUUCUCCCUGCUAGUGCAUGCUAGUUUUCCAUCUGCAGGGGCUUUAGUGGUACAGUUCAGAAGCAGUUUUACCAUGUGAUCUUCUGCUUGUGUAGUCUUCUGAGAAACCUAUGAUUUGUGCUUUAUGGGAAGCCCUCAAAAAGCCAUAAAGCCCUUUUUGGUAUAGUGUGGCUUUAUUAAUCCCAGGGUUCACAGAAUUACUGAAGUGCAUGACAGCUCUUAUUCAGCACAAACAGGUCCUGGUGUGCGUAGAAAGCAAAAUUUACCCGACCUUGCAAUCUGGUUGACAUGUGAGUUUGAGAAUGCAAAAACCAUCUUGCAAAAUCAAACUAUGCUUCAUCUAAUUCAGGGGUGGGCAGGUUUAAAACUUUUUUUCUUUUUUGGAGCUGGAUCAGUUGCAAAACGGCAGCUUGUACAAAAAUUUGCUUUGACAGAAUACAGAAUUUUAACAUCAAAAUUCCUGAAUUCUAGGAGAAUUUUGUUGCAAGACAGGAUGGGAGCAAGAGGCGCUGCUUUGUGGUGGAAGAAACUGGAGAUAAAUUAAUGGGAGAGAAAGUAAAAAGCAACUCUGAGCACUCAAAGAGAGAGAGAUUAAAAACGCCACAGCCCUGCACCCAAUCAGACAGCCAAUCAGACAGCUGUUUGGGGGUGGUUCACGAUUAAAAAAAAAAUUUUUUUAAUUUUAAACUUAAAAAUAAAUUUUACUUAUUGCCUCCCAAUUCGGGGGCGGGGGGGUGUCUCCAGAAGUUUCCUUCCCCCCGCUGGCCUCCAUUUAUGUCCAGAUCACCCAAUUUGGGCAGUCUUCAGCCCGUUCUGGGCCUGCCCUCUGUUGUGGCGGCCAUUUUGGAGGCCUCCGCGCAUGCUCAGUGGGUCUCUACGUGGCUGGGAUAUGAUCCACACAUCUGAAAUUUCACAAUCAGGGCAUGAAUGAGAUGGUGACCCCCUUUGUCUGUCCUUGGUACCUGGUAUUCAGGGAAUUUUCCAGUCCAAGCAACCAGGGAUGGAAGAUGGCUUGCCUUGGAAGAAUCCACAGUCACCUCAGCAAAUGGUGCAGACACCUGAAACAGCACUUGACAUUUCUGACUUGCAUGAAGAUUCGAGGCAAGGGCAAAGUUAGCUUUGAAGGUAAACCGGCUUCUCCCCACUGCCCCUUCAUUUGCAACCUGGGAUUCCCUACCUCUCCUAGUUUCUUUCUCUCCAAAAGACGUCCCCUUCAAAACUCACCUCUCCCUGCAAACAGCUGUGCACCAUCCUGUUGUGUACCUUGUCUGUGCUCUUCUCUAUACAGUAUUGAUGACUAUGUGUAUUUGUGUGGGUUGGCUUAGGGGAGGAAUCUAGUUCACUGAUUGGUUGAUUUGACUUUUGUAUUUAGUCGUGUCUGCAUCCUCACCACUGUUUCAGCUUCUGAGCUGUAAAGAAGUAGUUCUGUUUUCUCCUGGACAGGAGAUUGCUCCUUUGUUAUUUUUCCAUCUGCUAAUAAAUACAAGCCUCGUCAUUUUAUCCUCAA